AUGGGUACUAGUAAUGGUAGCUUCUGUCUAUCACAAAUGAAAAACCAUGGCCAUGUCUUGUCAGGUGGAGAGGAAGCUCUUGACGGCGGCCCUGAAGGUGCGCGCGACGGCGGCCCAGGCGGCCUGCGUCGGGUGCACGUCGUCCCAGUAGAAGUAGCGGCCGGGGUCGUCGCAGAGCGUGUACUGCCGCGUGCCGUUCUCGUCCUCCUCGCCGCAGUAGCCGUCCGGCCUGAAGCUCUCGCAGCAGGGCCGCAGCGUGCUCUUGAACCUCUUGUUGUCAUGGUCACCAUUGUUGUCGUCGUCGAGGAGGAAGGCGGCGAAGGGGGUGUGGACGUCGAGGAGGAGGAAGGUGCGGUUGUUGGGGUCGAGGGCGGCGAGGACGGACCGGAGCGCGGCGUUGUGCUGGGCGGCGCCGGCGUUGGCCAGCGGGUCGCAGCCGGUGUAGUUGAGCAGGCGGGUGAAUGUCGGCGUGCACCCCAUGGGGUGCAGGUUGGUCACCACCACCCUCCGCAUCCCCGCCUCGUCGCGCAGCCGCCGGAGCUGCCCCCGGAGCUCCCGCACCACCGUCGGGAUGUACUCGAUCGCCGCCUGCACACGAGCAGUAGAAGUCCGUCAGUUAUGGAUUGGCAGCUUUGUCAGACAACGACGGCCGGUGCACGGUGA
rnacentral:rRNA from 1 species